rnacentral:rRNA from 1 species
AUUGAACGCUGGCGGCAAGCCUAACACAUGCAAGUCGAACGGUAGCAGGUCCUUCGGGAUGCUGACGAGUGGCGGACGGGUGAGUAACGCGUAGGAAUCUACCCAGUAGCGGGGGAUAGCCCGGGGAAACUCGGAUUAAUACCGCAUACGCCCUAAGGGGGAAAGCAGGGGAUCUUCGGACCUUGCACUAUUGGAAGAGCCUGCGUUGGAUUAGCUAGUUGGUAGGGUAAAGGCCUACCAAGGCGACGAUCCAUAGCUGGUCUGAGAGGAUGAUCAGCCACACUGGGACUGAGACACGGCCCAGACUCCUACGGGAGGCAGCAGUGGGGAAUAUUGGGCAAUGGGCGCAAGCCUGGACCCAGCUAUGCCGCGUGUGUGAAGAAGGCCUCGG